CCGCGGGAUUAGAGUUUGAUCCUGGCUCAGAGCGAACGCUGGCGGCAGGCCUAACACAUGCAAGUCGAACGAACUCUUCGGAGUUAGUGGCGGACGGGUGAGUAACACGUGGGAACGUGCCUUUAGGUUCGGAAUAACUCAGGGAAACUUGUGCUAAUACCGAAUGUGCCCUUCGGGGGAAAGAUUUAUCGCCUUUAGAGCGGCCCGCGUCUGAUUAGCUAGUUGGUGAGGUAAAGGCUCACCAAGGCGACGAUCAGUAGCUGGUCUGAGAGGAUGAUCAGCCACAUUGGGACUGAGACACGGCCCAAACUCCUACGGGAGGCAGCAGUGGGGAAUCUUGCGCAAUGGGCGAAAGCCUGACGCAGCCAUGCCGCGUGAAUGAUGAAGGUCUUAGGAUUGUAAAAUUCUUUCACCGGGGACGAUAAUGACGGUACCCGGAGAAGAAGCCCCGGCUAACUUCGUGCCAGCAGCCGCGGUAAUACGAAGGGGGCUAGCGUUGCUCGGAAUUACUGGGCGUAAAGGGAGCGUAGGCGGACAUUUAAGUCAGGGGUGAAAUCCCGGGGCUCAACCUCGGAAUUGCCUUUGAUACUGGGUGUCUUGAGUAUGAGAGAGGUGUGUGGAACUCCGAGUGUAGAGGUGAAAUUCGUAGAUAUUCGGAAGAACACCAGUGGCGAAGGCGACACACUGGCUCAUUACUGACGCUGAGGCUCGAAAGCGUGGGGAGCAAACAGGAUUAGAUACCCUGGUAGUCCACGCCGUAAACGAUGAUUGCUAGUUGUCGGGAUGCAUGCAUUUCGGUGACGCAGCUAACGCAUUAAGCAAUCCGCCUGGGGAGUACGGUCGCAA
rnacentral:rRNA from 1 species